AGUGAACGCUGGCGGUAGGCCUAACACAUGCAAGUCGAACGGCAGCACAGUAAGAGCUUGCUCUUACGGGUGGCGAGUGGCGGACGGGUGAGGAAUACAUCGGAAUCUACUUUUUCGUGGGGGAUAACGUAGGGAAACUUACGCUAAUACCGCAUACGACCUACGGGUGAAAGCAUGGGAUCUUCGGACCUUGCGCGAUUGAAUGAGCCGAUGUCGGAUUAGCUAGUUGGCGGGGUAAAGGCCCACCAAGGCGACGAUCCGUAGCUGGUCUGAGAGGAUGAUCAGCCAAACUGGAACUGGGACACGGUCCAGACUCCUAAGGGAGGCAGCAGUGGGGAAUAUUGGACAAUGGGCGCAAGCCUGAUCCAGCCAUACCGCGUGGGUGAAGAAGGCCUUCGGGUUGUAAAGCCAUUUUGUUGGGAAAGAAAAGCAGCAGGUUAAUACCCCGCUGUUCUGACGGUACCCAAAGAAUAAGCACCGGCUAACUUCGUG
rnacentral:rRNA from 1 species